AGAUGUGUUCACAAGGACUUUGCACAAGGGACAAUUUCCGAAAAUUUACCAUAAGGAUUAACAUCCUGCUGGAAACACUUGGACAUUUAAGAUACCACUGAGAGAAGUUUGACUGUCUUCAUUAUAACUUACGAUCAGAUUGCUGUGUCCAGAAUUACCUACUGGUUCAUCCUCAAUUUUGUUUGAAAGUUAUCAAUUCACACAGACUAUUUGAAAUUAGAGCUGUCCUUACUUCUACUGAAGACAGUCACACGAGAUUAUUUUCUUCCCAUAUCAGGUGGGAGAAUGCAAUGGCCUCUUUGUGCUGAGAGAAACCCCAGGAGUCAGCAGAGCACAUUCAACUGUCAUACAGCUAUAAAGUGGCUGAAGAUGCUUCACCUGAAAGGUUUAUACUUCAUGAUCUGGAGUCAUCAUCUGAAGUUUGUUAAAGUGUUAUAAUACCAUGAGGAUCUUUUACAACUUCAUUGUCUGAACUGCUAAAUUUUUAGGAGAAUUAAAAAAAUAUGUAUAUCCUGAGAAACAUUUUUGGCUUUUAAAGUACCUCUUCUUAGACAAAGAACUUUUAUUGUCACUUUUUGUGUCAUUUUAUCACAAAGUCAAAGCACAAAAUUGUUCUCUCUCAAAAGAUUCUUUUUUAAUUUCCUGGACUAAGUUUUUAAAGACAUAGAUUAUGCCUUUUUGAGGGUGAAUCAUAUUCAGUAGUACUAAAAAUUAUGCAACAAGGAAUGAGAGCAUGCAGAAAUGUUGUAUGAUCUGCCCAGACUUGGCAUUUAAUAUGUGCACCUAUCCUAUGUUUUUCACACAAAAUGCAUGCAGGAUAAAACCAGGUAAACAGUUAGUUUAAUGCCAUCAAAGCACAGUUUAAUGCAUCAAAGCAAAGAAAAUGCCAUCUAAGUAAUAAAGAGUGCAAAGGAAGACACUGUUAGAGAAUGGCAGAAAAUGGAAACCAGUAGGAAGAACCGCUAUCACAGCCCAUCUCCUGGAGAACUCCUGGACUCUGCUCUGCACAUCAUCACCAUCCUCUCCCCUUGUCCUUCAUGUUCCUGUGCACAUUGUGCUUCCCUUCCUGAUGGUAGGGUUGAUGAAGAGGUCCUGGCCAAAUAGGUUCAAAAGGUACAGAUGGAGUGCCACACUGGGAUUGUGAUGCUUUGAGAUCUAUAGUGACUCGUAGAGAUGGUAAAGUUUGUGUUGGGGAGGAAGAAAUUGGAGUAGGUUUAUAUAAUUAGUUUUCAGGGUGUCGUGGUUAAUAUGAUAUCUGAGUGUGAUAUGAACUGUUUUCAAUAUCACUGGUUAAUUCUAUUUUAUUUAUGCUCUCUUGAUGUCAUGUACUUUCCAAGUAGAUUGCACAGUUUAUGCUAAAUGCUUAAUUGUCCUAAUGUAAAAUAGAAAAAGGUGAAUAAGAGAGUAAUUGCAACCACAGAGGGAUAAAUUUUCUUUCUUAGCCAACCCUAAUGCUGGGAAAUUUAGUUAAAGUAUUCAGAAACAAUCCAAAAUAUACAUUCUGUACUCAGCAGAAGAUCAGAAUAGUAUGGAUGACAUUGUAGAUAAUGUCUGAGUCCACAAACAAUAGUGAUGAAAAGGAAAUCAGUAAAUCAGGAAUAAUUGUUCCAAUUUAUGUUCUGUUUCCUAACUUUUAAAUGCUUGAUGUUCCAAGUUAAAAAUCUUCCCUUAAUAUGUUCCUACAACAACAUAAGACAACAUACAGACAUAAGACAAAUAAGACAACUUAUAGAGAGGGAUGGGAAGAGGGCUGCUAUUUCACGCAUUGAAUCUGACUAGAGCACAACACUCAGCUUUUUUGGGCUUCUGCAUAGCUCUGCAUAGAGCAAAGACCACAUGCGUUCAAAUAGCAUUCCAAGGUUCCAUAGUUUAUCCCAGUGGUCAGCUCAGCUCCUCUGGUCUUUUGCUUCCUGGGACAAUAAGUCUUGAUGUCAUGUGUUGCCAGCCUUUCUUUUCUGGCUUACCUGUCUCUUCCAAUCUGUAACAUUUAACCUCUGUCUCUACAACACUGCCAAAAUCCACUUUUCCCCACUCAGUACAAUAGGACACUUCAGUAGUGAUACAAUGAAUCCUUUCUUGUUCAUCUGUCUCUUAGGUCUCUCUAAAGUUCCUAAGAAUGAUUUCAUUUUUGCUUCUGCCUCUUCAGCCAAAUAGAUGCUUGGGCAAGCUUGUGAGUUUCAUGACACAGUGAAACAAAACUGAUGAUAGACUGAAAAUUGAACGCAUGGUAUACCUGUAUCUUCAGUCCCUUAUGCGUGAAUUUAAAACUUCUCUUAUGAAUUUAAGACUAUUAUUCCACAUAAACAGUGCCUUGUAUUUGCAUAUUUAUUUAAUUUAGAGCUGGAUUUGAAGAGCAAAUCAUUCUA